GAAAUCACACAGAAAGUUAAAGUUGCUUGGUACAUCAAUGAGAAAAAACAAAAGCAGGAUUUCCAAGAGCAUAAAACACAGAACUGUUCAAUUCUGAAUCUCACAAACAUACUUAAAACCGCUUCAGGUCAUUAUGUUUGUGAAGUGACUCAAGACAUACCAAUCCUGCUUCAGAAGAAUGGUAGUGGAACAGUCAUAUCUAUCAAUGACAGAGAUAACAAAACAGUGACUGUUUAUGACCCGCCUCAAACUUCCCAGACUGCACACAGUUCACCAGCACCAGACACUUCACCUCCCUUUCUGCCUUUGUCUCUGGUUGCUGCCAUCAGCCUGCUGACCCUCUGCUUGGCCUUCAGUGUGUGCAAGAUGAGGAACUCCUGUAGAAAAUCAGAGCGAGUGGUCAUUCACCAGACGCCUAGCAGUGAGGGUGAGGAGCAUGAGCACAUGGAAGAGGAGGACGGUAGCACAGGCUCCUCUCGAGGAUCCCUCCAAUGGG
rnacentral:lncRNA from 1 species